rnacentral:lncRNA from 1 species
CAUUUACAGAGGACCUCGAGACACAUUUACCUCGCCCUGCUGUUUCCCCAAACCCAGCCCUCCCACUUGGACUAGGAUCGCUGCCUACUUUUCUUUGUUCUCCCUGCAUCACAGAGAUGGCACAGAGAGGUCAGUUCUCUUUCCUAAAGCUGCCCAACCGUAGAAUCAACGAGAGAAUCCAAACCCAGUAUGGCAGCCUUUAUUACAAGACUCAGACCAGCAAAACAAAGCAGCCAGAGACCAUGGAGCAUGAAAAUAUACACCCAGUUCGUGUUUAAUUCUCUAACAGAUCAAAGAUACAAAAGCGGGAUGCUGCUGCUUCAUCAGAGCUCUCCCAACCACCAGGCAGCGUUUCACCAAAAGAAGUUCAAUGCUCUGCUGUGUUAUUAGGAAGAAAAUACACAGUACAGUGGAAGAUGGUUCCAUUUGUAUUUCUCCAGAAGCCAUACCAGUCAUUUUUGAACAUCCUACUGUUUUUACAACGCAAAAUUCUACUUACAGGCUUCCAAAGAAGCUGAACAGAGGAUAUUCUCUUGCAGAAAAACAGCUUCUGCCCAGCACAACAGAUCUCUCCAGCUGCAAAAGGUGAAACUCCCCUGACUUCAGCAUCACUCUGUGACUCGGUGAAAGUGGUCAGAACUGAUCCUAAGGGAAAGGCAUGGUACUCCCAUGUGCCCCACCUGAGCUGAAUUUACUCUGGAUAAUUUCUUUGGGAGCUUCAGCAUGCCCUGUGCUGCAUGCUAAAAAUGUUACGCUACAAAUUCAAUGCUUUGGUUUUAUUUUUGACAGUUCUUAAAGCAUGACAAGAAUGAUGAGGCAGGACGUCUCCGGCAGACAUCUGUUUUAGCACAGAGCUCCUGUGCAUGAUGCAGUGACACAACUCUGCUUCAGACCAGUUGCCUCCCCUCUGGUGAAAGUAUGUGAAUUUGCAGUUUCUUCCUCUCUGUAACUCACCUACUGAACGGGCAUCAUUUUCCACUUCUGCACCAUAUUUUGAACAACUUUUAUUACUAUUUUUCUUUUUCUUUGCUACUGUCUUAGGUACUUAUACUCAAUUAUGUAAGCUGUAUUUUGCACUAUAACAAAGUGUAGUAUGGUAUAAAGUAAUUAUUGAUUUUAGAUACAUCUCAUAAUCUUCUCUCACAUUAUUAGAGCAAGUUUGUUGCAUUGAGUUACCUCAAUAAUUCAGACUACUGGUAAGUUACAUCUAUGCUUAAGAAACUGAAAUUUACAGUCAGUCUGAAGUAGAACCGGAGUGGGAUCUGACACAAAGCAGGGCUGAAUGGAGAUGUCUGGAUAAAUCAAACCAAGGGCUUGUCCACCGAGUCCUAGAGCUUGACGUGCCAACCCCGUGAGGGUUUGUGUUCAGCCAGCUGGGUAAAGAGAAGUUUGAGCUUAAACUGCAUUUAAAUGCAGGAGAGACAGUCUGUGUAGUCACUUGCUGGCUAUGGUCCCCAUCACUUUCAAUUAAGUGGAAGUGGCUGGCUCCCAUUCUCAAAAUGCAUCUGGACAUCUAAUUUCUGUUGAUUUUCAGUGUCUGUGUGUUAGCCCCUUUCUGAACCAUCAUAAAUUCUGGUUCCAUCUUGCAU